rnacentral:rRNA from 1 species
CCUACGGGAGGCUGCAGUGGGGAAUAUUGGACAAUGGGGGCAACCCUGAUCCACCCAUGCCGCGUGUGUGAAGAAGGCCCUCGGGUUGUAAAGCACUUUCAGUGAGGAAGAACGCCUGGUGGUUAAUACCCAUCAGGAAAGACAUCACUCACAGAAGAAGCACCGGCUAACUCCGUGCCAGCAGCCGCGGUAAUACGGAGGGUGCGAGCGUUAAUCGGAAUUACUGGGCGUAAAGCGCGCGUAGGUGGCUUGAUAAGCCGGUUGUGAAAGCCCCGGGCUCAACCUGGGAACGGCAUCCGGAACUGUCAAGCUAGAGUGCAGGAGAGGAAGGUAGAAUUCCCGGUGUAGCGGUGAAAUGCGUAGAGAUCGGGAGGAAUACCAGUGGCGAAGGCGGCCUUCUGGACUGACACUGACACUGAGGUGCGAAAGCGUGGGUAGCAAACAGGAUUAGAUACCCCAGUAGUC